rnacentral:rRNA from 1 species
UACAGAGGUCUCAAGCGUUGUUCGGAUUCAUUGGGCGUAAAGGGUGCGUAGGUGGCUCUGUAAGUCAGGUGUGAAAUUUCGGAGCUUAACUCCGAAACUGCAUUUGAUACUGCGGUGCUUGAGGACUGGAGAGGAGACUGGAAUUUACGGUGUAGCAGUGAAAUGCGUAGAGAUCGGAAGGAAGACCAGUGGCGAAGGCGGGUCUCUGGACAGUUCCUGACACUGAGGCACGAAGGCCAGGGGAGCAAACGGG